rnacentral:rRNA from 1 species
UACGUAGGUGGCAAGCGUUGUCCGGAUUUACUGGGCGUAAAGGGCGUGCAGGCGGUUUGUUAAGUCUAGGGUGAAAGCUCCCGGCUCAACUGGGAGAGGUCCUUGGAUACUGGCAGACUUGAGGAGGGUAGAGGAGAGUGGAAUUCCCGGUGUAGUGGUGAUAUGCGUAGAUAUCGGGAGGAACACCAGUGGCGAAGGCGGGUUGCUGGGCUGACACUGACGCUGAGGCGCGAAAGCUAGGGGAGCGAACGGG